rnacentral:tRNA from 1 species
GGGCGGUCGGUAGAGCAAAAGACUUUUAAUCUUUUGGUCGAAGGUUAGAAUCCUGCGCGACCCG